AAACAUUAAAACAUAAUGUAGAUGUACUAACAUUGACUGCAACCCCAAUACC
rnacentral:sRNA from 1 species